UACGUAGGGGGCAAGCGUUGUCCGGAUUUAUUGGGCGUAAAGAGCGUGUAGGCGGCCAGAUAGGUCCGUUGUGAAAACUCGAGGCUCAACUUCGAGCUGUCGGUGGAAACUUUCUGGCUAGAGUCCGGAAGAGGAGAAUGGAAUUCCUGGUGUAGCGGUGAAAUGCGCAGAUAUCAGGAAGAACACCCGUGGCGAAGGCGGUUCUCUGGGACGGUACUGACGCUGAGACGCGAAAGCGUGGGGAGCGAACAGG
rnacentral:rRNA from 1 species